rnacentral:rRNA from 1 species
GCCGCGUGAGUGAAGAAGGCCCUUGGGUUGUAAAGCUCUUUCGUCGGGGAAGAAAAUGACUGUACCCGAAUAAGAAGGUCCGGCUAACUUCGUGCCAGCAGCCGCGGUAAUACGAAGGGACCUAGCGUAGUUCGGAAUUACUGGGCUUAAAGAGUUCGUAGGUGGUUGAAAAAGUUAGUGGUGAAAUCCCAGAGCUUAACUCUGGAACUGCCAUUAAAACUUUUCAGCUAGAGUAUGAUAGAGGAAAGCAGAAUUUCUAGUGUAGAGGUGAAAUUCGUAGAUAUUAGAAAGAAUACCAAUUGCGAAGGCAGCUUUCUGGAUCAUUACUGACACUGAGGAACGAAAGCAUGGGUAGCGAAGAGGAUUAGAUACCCUCGUAGUCCAUGCCGUAAACGAUGUGUGUUAGACGUUGGAAAUUUAUUUUCAGUGUCGCAGCGAAAGCGAUAAACACACCGCCUGGGGAGUACGACCGCAAGGUUAAAACUCAAAUGAAUUGACGGGGACCCGCACAAGUAGUGGAGCAUGUGGUUUAAUUCGAAGAUACGCGCAGAACCUUACCAACACUUGACAUGUUCGUCGCGACUCUAAGAGAUUAGAGUUUUCGGUUCGGCCGGACGAAACACAGGUGCUGCAUGGCUGUCGUCAGCUCGUGUCGUGAGAUGUUGGGUUAAGUCCCGCAACGAGCGCAACCCUCACUUUUAGUUGCCAUCAUUAAGUUGGGCACUCUGGA